rnacentral:rRNA from 1 species
UACGUAGGGUGCGAGCGUUGUCCGGAAUUAUUGGGCGUAAAUAGCUUGUAGGCGGUUUGUCGCGUCUGCUGUGAAAAUCCGGGGCUCAACCCCGGACUUGCAGUGGGUACGGGCAGACUAGAGUGUGGUAGGGGAGACUGGAAUUCCUGGUGUAGCGGUGAAAUGCGCAGAUAUCAGGAGGAACACCGAUGGCGAAGGCAGGUCUCUGGGCCACUACUGACGCUGAGAAGCGAAAGCAUGGGGAGCGAACAGG